rnacentral:rRNA from 1 species
AUUGAACGCUGGCGGCAGGCCUAACACAUGCAAGUCGAGCGGAUGAAGGGAGCUUGCUCCUGGAUUCAGCGGCGGACGGGUGAGUAAUGCCUAGGAAUCUGCCUGGUAGUGGGGGAUAACGUCCGGAAACGGGCGCUAAUACCGCAUACGUCCUGAGGGAGAAAGUGGGGGAUCUUCGGACCUCACGCUAUCAGAUGAGCCUAGGUCGGAUUAGCUAGUUGGUGGGGUAAAGGCCUACCAAGGCGACGAUCCGUAACUGGUCUGAGAGGAUGAUCAAUCACACUGGAACUGAGACACGGUCCAGACUCCUACGGGGGGCAGCAGUGGGGAAUAUUGGACAAUGGGCGAAAGCCUGAUCCAGCCAUGCCGCGUGUGUGAAGAAGGUCUUCGGAUUGUAAAGCACUUUAAGUUGGGAGGAAGGGCAGUAAGUUAAUACCUUGCUGUUUUGACGUUACCAACAGAAUAAGCACCGGCUAACUUCGUG